rnacentral:rRNA from 1 species
GAUGAACGCUGGCGGCGUGCCUAACACAUGCAAGUCGAACGAUGAAGCCCAGCGUGCUGGGUGGUUUAGUGGCGAACGGGUGAGUAACACGCGAGUAAACUGCCCUUAACUCUGGGUUAAGCCUGGUAGACUGGGUCUAACACCGGAUAGGAGCUUCCACCGACUGGUGGGUGCAGGAGAGAUUUAGCGGUUUUGGGUGGACUCGCGGCCUAUCCGCUUGUCGGUGAGGUAUUGGCUCAGCAAGGCGACGACGGGUAGCCGGCCUGUGAGGGUGACCAGACACACUAGGACUGCGAGACGGACCAGACUGGUACGGGAGGCAGCGGUGGGAAGUAUUGCACAGUAGGCGAGAGCCUGAUGCAACGACGCCGCGUGAGGAAUGACGGCCUUCGGGUUAUGAACCUCUUUCAGUAGGGAAGAAGCGAUAGUGACGGUACCUGAAGAAAAAGCACCGGCUAACUACGUG